CCUACGGGUGGCAGCAGUGAGGAAUAUUGGUCAAUGGGCGCGAGCCUGAACCAGCCAAGUCGCGUGAGGGAGGACGGCCCUACGGGUUGUAAACCUCUUUUGCCGGGGAGCAACGGGCGUCACGUGUGGCGCCACUGAGAGUACCCGGAGAAAAAGCAGCGGCUAACCCCGUGCCAGCAGCCGCGGUAAUACGGUGGAUGCGAGCGUUAGCGGGAUUGAUUGGGUUCAAAGGGUGCGUAGGCGGAUCGUUAAGUCAGUGGUCAAAUUGAGGGGCUCAACCCCUUCCCGCCAUUGAAACUGGCGCUCUUGAUUGGAAGAGACGUAUGCGGACUGCGUGUUGUAGCGGUGACAUGCA
rnacentral:rRNA from 1 species